rnacentral:rRNA from 1 species
GGGUUGUGAGGUUAAGUGACUAAGCGUACACGGUGGAUGCCUAGGCAGUCAGAGGCGAUGAAGGGCGUGCUAAUCUGCGAAAAGCGUCGGUAAGGUGAUAUGAACCGUUACAACCGGCGAUACCCGAAUGGGGAAACCCAGUGUGUUUCGACACACUAUCAUGUCAUGAAUACAUAGUGGCAUGAGGCGAACCGGGGGAACUGAAACAUCUAAGUACCCCGAGGAAAAGAAAUCAACCGAGAUUCCCCCAGUAGCGGCGAGCGAACGGGGAGGAGCCCAGAACCUGAAUCGGCUUGUGUUAGUGGAAGCGUCUGGAAAGUCGCGCAGCAAAGGGUGAUAGCCCCGUACACUAAAAUGCACAGGUCGUGAGUUCGAUGAGUAGGGCGGGACACGUGACAUCCUGUCUGAAUAUGGGGGGACCAUCCUCCAAGGCUAAAUACUCCUGACUGACCGAUAGUGAACCAGUACCGUGAGGGAAAGGCGAAAAGAACCCCGGCGAGGGGAGUGAAAUAGAACCUGAAACCGUGUACGUACAAGCAGUGGGAGCACCUUCGUGGUGUGACUGCGUACCUUUUGUAUAAUGGGUCAGCGACUUAUAUUUUGUAGCAAGGUUAACCGUAUAGGGGAGCCGUAGGAAACCGAGUCUUAACUGGGCGAAUAGUUGCAAGGUAUAGACCCGAAACCCGGUGAUCUAGCCAUGGGCAGGUUGAAGGUUGGGUAACACUAACUGGAGGACCGAACCGACUAAUGUUGAAAAAUUAGCGGAUGACUUGUGGCUGGGGGUGAAAGGCCAAUCAAACCGGGAGAUAGCUGGUUCUCCCGAAAGCUAUUUAGGUAGCGCCUCGUGAACUCAUCUUCGGGGGUAGAGCACUGUUUCGGCUAGGGGGCCAUCCCGGCUUACCAAACCGAUGCAAACUCCGAAUACCGAAGAAUGUUAUCACGGGAGACACACGGCGGGUGCUAACGUCCGUCGUGAAGAGGGAAACAACCCAGACCGCCAGCUAAGGUCCCAAAGUCAUGGUUAAGUGGGAAACGAUGUGGGAAGGCAUAGACAGCCAGGAUGUUGGCUUAGAAGCAGCCAUCAUUUAAAGAAAGCGUAAUAGCUCACUGGUCGAGUCGGCCUGGCGAUGUGCUAAACCAUGCACCGAAGCUGCGGCUUAGGGGAGCGUUCUGUAAGCCGUUGAAGGUGGCCUGUGAGGGUUGCUGGAGGUAUCAGAAGUGCGAAUGCUGACAUAAGUAACGAUAAAGCGGGUGAAAAGCCCGCUCGCCGGAAGACCAAGGGUUCCUGUCCAACGUUAAUCGGGGCAGGGUGAGUCGACCCUAAGGCGAGGCUGAAAAGCGUAGUCGAUGGGAAACAGGUUAAUAUUCCUGUACUUGGUGUUACUGCGAAGGGGACGGAGAAGGCUAGGCUGGCCGGGCGACGGUUGUCCCGGUUUAAGCGUGUAGGGGUGUGACUGGUAAAUCCGGUUGCAUAUCAACCCUGAGGCGUGAUGACGAUGCACUACGGUGCAGAAGUAGUUGAUGCCCUGCUUCCAGGAAAAUCCUCUAAGCUCCAGGUAACAUUAAAUCGUACCCCAAACCGACACAGGUGGUCAGGUAGAGAAUACCAAGGCGCUUGAGAGAACUCGGGUGAAGGAACUAGGCAAAAUGGUGCCGUAACUUCGGGAGAAGGCACGCUGGCAUGUAGGUGAAGUCCCUCGCGGAUGGAGCUGAAGCCAGUCGAAGAUACCAGCUGGCUGCAACUGUUUAAUAAAAACACAGCACUGUGCAAACACGAAAGUGGACGUAUACGGUGUGACGCCUGCCCGGUGCUGGAAGGUUAAUUGAUGGGGUCAGCCGCAAGGCGAAGCUCUUGAUCGAAGCCCCAGUAAACGGCGGCCGUAACUAUAACGGUCCUAAGGUAGCGAAAUUCCUUGUCGGGUAAGUUCCGACCUGCACGAAUGGCGUAAUGAUGGCCAGGCUGUCUCCACCCGAGACUCAGUGAAAUUGAACUCGCUGUGAAGAUGCAGUGUACCCGCGGCAAGACGGAAAGACCCCGUGAACCUUUACUAUAGCUUGACACUGAACAUUGAGCCUUGAUGUGUAGGAUAGGUGGGAGGCUUUGAAGCGUGGACGCCAGUCUGCGUGGAGCCAUCCUUGAAAUACCACCCUUUAAUGUUUGAUGUUCUAACUCGGCCCCAUAAUCUGGGGUGAGGACAGUGUCUGGUGGGUAGUUUGACUGGGGCGGUCUCCUCCCAAAGAGUAACGGAGGAGCACGAAGGUUAGCUAAUCACGGUCGGACAUCGUGAGGUUAGUGCAAAGGCAUAAGCUAGCUUGACUGCGAGAGUGACGGCUCGAGCAGGUACGAAAGUAGGUCUUAGUGAUCCGGUGGUUCUGAAUGGAAGGGCCAUCGCUCAACGGAUAAAAGGUACUCCGGGGAUAACAGGCUGAUACCGCCCAAGAGUUCAUAUCGACGGCGGUGUUUGGCACCUCGAUGUCGGCUCAUCACAUCCUGGGGCUGAAGUAGGUCCCAAGGGUAUGGCUGUUCGCCAUUUAAAGUGGUACGCGAGCUGGGUUUAGAACGUCGUGAGACAGUUCGGUCCCUAUCUGCCGUGGGCGUUGGAAGAUUGAGAGGGGUUGCUCCUAGUACGAGAGGACCGGAGUGAACGCACCACUGGUGUUCGGGUUGUCAUGCCAAUGGCAUUGCCCGGUAGCUAAGUGCGGAAAAGAUAAGCGCUGAAAGCAUCUAAGCGCGAAACUUGCCUCAAGAUGAGUCUUCCCUGGGCCUUCAAGGCCCCUGAAGGAACGUUUAAGACUAAGACGUUGAUAGGCUGGGUGUGUAAGUGCAGCGAUGCAUUGAGCUAACCAGUACUAAUGAUCCGUGAGGCUUAACCUUACAACACCGAAGGUGUUU